GUAAAGAAACAUUUUAUUCUCAUACUUCUGUCCAAUUAUUCUCUAAAAAUAUGAGUCCCACAGGGGGAAAAAAAUCAUAGAUGCCAAAAAUGUGGCAAACAAUUGACUCAAAGACAAACCCUUAUUUAGUGGACUACUUAAAAAACUAAAAUAUAAAAUAAAUAUGUAUAUGCAAAUAUACCCAGUGUAUUUAUGCAAAUGCUGCAGAUACAGUUGAAGUCAGAAGAUUACAUACACUAAGGUUGGAGUCAUUAAAACUCGUUUUUCAACCACUCCACAAAUGUCUUGUUAACAAACUAUAGUUUUGGCAAGUCAGUUAGGACAUCUACAUUGUGCAUGACACAAUAAAUGUUUCUAACAAUUGUUUACAGAUUUUUUUCAUUUAUAAUUCACUGUAUCACAAUUGCAGUGGGUCAGAAAUUCACAUGCCCUAAGGUGACUAUCUUUAAACAGCUUGGAAAAUUCCAGAAAAUUGUGUCAUGGCUUUUGAUAACUGGAUUUUGUUCAUCAUGAUACAAGUUACUGCACAGAAAAUGACAGAAUGUUUUAUUAAUUUUGCAGUUUGUUGAACUUUCUAUUUAUUAUAGAACUACUACUUAUGGCUAACAAGUUAUUACAUUUAUAACAUCUAUUUACAGCCACAGUUCUGUGUCUUGUGUACACCGUUCUGAACAUCUAUUUACAGCCACAGUUCUGUGUCUUGUGUACACCGUUCUGAACAUCUAUUUACAGCAACAGUUCUUGUCUUGUGUACACCGUUCUGAACAUCUAUUUACAGCCACAGUUCUGUGUCUGGUGUACACCGUUCUGAAUAUUUACAGCAACAGUUCUGUGUCUUGUGUACACUGUUCUGAACAUCUAUUUACAGCCACAGUUCUGUGUCUUGUGUACACCGUUCUGAAUAUUUACAGCAACAGUUCUGUGUCUGGUGUACGCCGUUCUGAAUAUUUACAGCAACAGUUGUGUCUUGUGUACACCGUUCUGAAUAUUUACAGCAACAGUUCGUGUCUUGUGUACACCGUUCUGAAUAUUUACAGCAACAGUUCGUGUCUUGUGUACACCGUUCUGAAUAUUUACAGCAACAGUUGUGUCUUGUGUACACCGUUCUGAAUAUUUACAGCAACAGUUCUUUGUCUUGUGUACACCGUUCUGAAUAUUUACAGCAACAGUUGUGUCUUGUGUACACCGUUCUGAAUAUUUACAGCAACAGUUCUGUCUUGUGUACACCGUUCUGAAUAUUUACAGCAACAGUUGUGUCUUGUGUACACCGUUCUGAACAUUUACAGCAACAGUUCUGUGUCUUGUGUACACAGUUCUGAAUAUUUACAGCAACAGUUCUGUGUACACUGUUCAGAACAUUUACAGCAACAGUUCUGUGUCUUGUGUACACCGUUCUGAAUAUUUACAGCAACAGUUCUGUGUCUUGUGUACACCGUUCUGAAUAUUUACAGCAACAGUUCUGUGUCUUGUGUACACCGUUCUGAAUAUUUACAGCAACAGUUCGUGUCUUGUGUACACUGUUCAGAACAUUUACAGCAACAGUUCUGUGUCUUGUGUACACUGUUCAGAACAUUUACAGCAACAGUUUUGUGUCUUGUGUACACUGUUCAGAACAUUUACACAUUUUGAAAAUCUACAUGGUUUAAAAAAACAUUUUAAUGCCAAAUUGAGAAAAACAUCUGUAAGAUGGAAGCAGUAUUGGGGGAACGUGCCCAUACACUACCC